AUUCCCCCCUCCCCGCAUUCUUCCUCACUUCUUCCUUUCCCCGCGUUCUCUCCUCCACUACCCCAGCUCGUAUCCUUUCGUCGGCCUCACCCUCUGGCCGCCCCGUGUGGCUCCAUCACUCCAGAACCAUGUGGCUCCAUGACUUCGGCACCGUGUAAGAAAAGAUCAUCUAAGGGUUAACUAUUUCCGUACAGCUUCUCCAGCUUCACCAUUUCCGCACGGCUUCAAUCCUCUAUUGGUAUUGUAGCUGUUGAGACCCACCGUCUGUCGUCUUACAAGGCAUGUAAGGAAGGAAAAACUGCCAACAUAUAUGCACAUAUGGGACAUUCUUCAAGAAUUUCUAUUUAGCUAUUUUAAACGAUUUGAAAGAUUGGCGUAUUUUGUAUUGAUUUUUAUCUAUUAAUUUGUGAUGUGUCAAUUUUGUAGGCUCGACAUUCUUGCAAAUUUUUUUGUUUGUAUGACUUGAAAAUACCAAAAUAUGGUGAUAAGACAAUCAAACGACUACAACAGUCACUUGAUAGAUUAAAAAAUGAAAUUGAAAGAUACAAUUAGCAAUGGACAUUCAAACCACUUGACAUCGACUAUAAAUAAAGGUGGAGAGGCGUAAGAGAAAAUUGGAGAAGACUACUUAUGUUCUUCCAAUUUCAAUGUCAUGUUUAAUGUUUUUGGGAUUAAUUAUAUCCACUUGUUGGUUCAAAGAAAAAUGUUAGUCAUUUGAUGUUGUAAUAGAAUUAUUGAUGCAGCUGGAAACUCUGUAUGUAGAAGUUCACAUAUUAGCGAUGUAUUGUGAACUAUUAAAUGUGCAUGUUGAAGUUAUAAUUUAAUCCAGUUGUUGAAAGAAUGUAUUGAGGUCUCUAGUAAAUGUGCGUACAAAUUGCAUCCAA